GAUGAAGAACGCAGCGAAAUGCGAUACGUAAUGUGAAUUGCAAAUUCAGUGAAUCAUCGAGUCUUUGAACGCACAUUGCGCCCCCUGGUAUUCCGGGGGGCAUGCCUGUCCGAGCGUCAUUGCUGCCCUCAAGCACGGCUUGUGUGUUGGGCCCCGUCCUCCGAUCCCGGGGGACGGGCCCGAAAGGCAGCGGCGGCACCGCGUCCGGUCCUCGAGCGUAUGGGGCUUUGUCACCCGCUCUGUAGGCCCGGCCGGCGCUUGCCGAUCAACCCAAAUUUUUAUCCAGGUUGACCUCGGAUCAGGUAGGGAUACCCGCUGAACUUAAGCAUACCAAUAAGCGGAGGA
rnacentral:misc_RNA from 1 species